AUUGGACGCUGGCGGCAGGCCUAACACAUGCAAGUCGAACGGUAACAGAAAGCAGCUUGCUGCUUUGCUGACGAGUGGCGGACGGGUGAGUAAUGUCUGGGAAACUGCCUGAUGGAGGGGGAUAACUACUGGAAACGGUAGCUAAUACCGCAUAACGUCGCAAGACCAAAGAGGGGGACCUUCGGGCCUCUUGCCAUCGGAUGUGCCCAGAUGGGAUUAGCUAGUAGGUGGGGUAACGGCUCACCUAGGCGACGAUCCCUAGCUGGUCUGAGAGGAUGACCAGCCACACUGGAACUGAGACACGGUCCAGACUCCUACGGGAGGCAGCAGUGGGGAAUAUUGCACAAUGGGCGCAAGCCUGAUGCAGCCAUGCCGCGUGUAUGAAGAAGGCCUUCGGGUUGUAAAGUACUUUCAGCGGGGAGGAAGGGAGUAAGGUUAAUACCUUUGCUCAUUGACGUUACCCGCAGAAGAAGCACCGGCUAACUCCGUG
rnacentral:rRNA from 1 species